ensembl:lncRNA
CUCAUUUAAGGGCUGACUGCUGCUCUAGAAGGUUCUCUGGUUGGUGAUCCCUUCUGUGUGGUGUUUUCCUUACAAGCCUAGAUCUUCAGAGACAGGCGACAGUGGAAAAUGCCAGAGUGUUUGGGAGCUAGGCCAGGAGGAGGAUAGGUAUGCAGCUGGUCGUCUGUCUCACUGCUUUUGAGAACACAGGUUCUGCGAACGUUUACUGUUGUGUAUGGUGUUCUGUCUCCAUUGAUAAUAUUGGGGAAAAAAAAAAAAAGGAUUACCCCUGACCCACAUCCUCCACUCUCUUGAAAACAAAAACCUCAAGUAACAUUUCCCAUAUCUGAACUGACUCUGCAUUGCUGAACUUCUUCCCUUCCUGCUAACAAUGAGAGCUGCGAUUGAACAGAAUGAAAUGCUGUGAGAUGAACUUCUGUGCUAGGCUGCUAAUUGGUCAGUCUCUAAGGUUCAUGCUGUUCAGGAUAGAGUAUCAUAGGAUUAUUAUCUCAGACUGACUUAAGCUGUAAACUUCUUAGAUAUGCCCUCAAAAUUUAAGUUUCUUUUCCUUUUUGGAGGCAUUGAGCAGUACCUUGUCUGAGAUGUGCUCUUUUCCUCCUUAAUGCUUGACCCAAAGCUUUCUAAUGUGAAAAUAUUUUUGUCUUUUUUUUUUCCUGCUACUUCAGCUGUAACAACACUGGAUGUUUGCUUGGCUUGGGUGGGAAGGUGGAAAAUUCUUCCAAAUUUUAGAAACAGAGAGCUUUCUGAUGUGUGCAGUAAUCUUAAGGUAGUAAAUUCUUUUUAUUUGAUUUUAAAUGCAUAAUUUAGUAUACAAUAUAAAAAUGUAUCCAAGGGGGAAAUGAAUUUUUUUUUAAUAACAUGCUUCCCAAGGCGAGUGGCAAAACGUGCGUGUUGAUGGGAAAGGGAGGGGAAAAAUUUAUAUCCUCAAGGCAUGACUUGUGGUUUUGAAUAAAAUUGAGAUUGGUGCUGCUGUUGGCUUAGUUUAUGCUAGGCAGAGAUGGGUUAUACUGUUCACUGGGAAUUCUAACACAGGCAAAUUAGGUUCACUUUUAAGACUUGGAUGGUGCAUGUGUUUAGCCCUCAGCUUGCACUGCAGAAGUUAUUGAGUUCUCUGCAGCCCGGAAAGAACAACUGUGUUUUGAUGAUAACUUUUUGCUCCUUGAGGAAAUUGUGGGAUCCUGUUUCUGCCGCCCUUUUACAUGUAAACCAUCCCUCUAGCUCCAAUGAGGUUCCUUGUAUAAUCUAGGUGUUGUAUAGUAAGGGUGAUAGUUUCUCUAUUUGAAGAUGGCUGCUAGACAUACUAAAGCUCUCAGACAUAGAUCCAAUUGGCAGUGAUAAAGAAUCACUUGUCUCCAACAUCAAACAGAUUUAUUGAGCAUAAAUAAAUUAUUAGUUUAAACCUGUGCUGGUACAUCUUUUUUGAGGAGGAAACAGUUGUUUGUGUUCUGUCCUGUCUAGUGCUUGCAAAAGAAAAAGUGAGUUUUCUUGCACCUAGGUUCAAUUCACGUGGGUGUUUUUGUUCUUUUUUAUGGAGGCAUUUUUAAACUCAUUUGAUGCAAGCUCACAUAAUCAACUUGUUUUCAGUUUGUUAGAGCUAUACUCAUUUAAUCUGAAUCAGUAAAUAGAAUAUUAUUUUGAAAGAGUGUUUGCAAGACAUUUGACCUGUAAAAAAAUUGUACAAGUCUGAAUUGCCUGAAUUUUAGAAACUUAAAAUCCGGACUUCUCUAGAACUUGUGUGUUUCCAUCAAGCAGCAUCCAUCUGUUGUAUAAUGCUUCUCUAAAUGUUGCUAUGGUGUAUAGACCACAGAAUAAAAAGCAGUC